UAACUCGUAUAGAAGAUAUGGCAGUUGCAGUGGCACCAUCACUUUCCCUCUUUCUUCAAAAUCGCAAGAUGAAGAAGGACAACCAAAUCUCACCAUGUCAGAUUGAAAACCCACAACUUCCUCUCAAAAGAUUAAAGACACUAUUUUAUUAUAAUAACAAUUUCAACAGAUUCCGGUUCAGACCCACAACUUCCUCCCAAAGUUUUCAUACUGCCAUGGUUGAGGG
rnacentral:lncRNA from 1 species